ensembl:lncRNA
ACUGUAUAAUGCCAUUUUCUUGUUUAUAUUGCCUUUCUAAUUUUGCAACUUUUGUUUUUCAGUGUUCACACUUGCUCGUGUGGGAUAUCAUGCUUGUGUUUACUUCAAAGGUCAGCUCUGGUUUGAGUACACACAGCCUUAUGUUCCUUGUGAGGAUGCCAAAAUCUGUUACAUCAUCAAAGGAGAAACCCUGCAUGAAACCAGUCUAUUUUAUUUUAAAAGAAAAGGAUUUUUUACUCCUCUGGGGGAAUAUGAGGUUUACAUGGAUGUGAACAUUGUUGAUGAUGCUGAUAGACUGCUGACAUUACGUGUUAACAUCACUGUGCAAAUAAAAAGUACCGGAAGAAAGAAUAUUUUUUUUCAACAGUUGGGAGCGCUGUAAGAAAAGUAAAUACUAGCAAACAAAACAAAAACUUCCUGUUCAAAAGUUUAGGGUCAUAUAGUCAGAUUUUGUGUGUGUGUGUGAUAUGAUAGGUUAUAUUUUCUAUGCAAUUGCUUUAAUAUUAUCAAGUGCUUGUCUUAGUCUGGACUGUUGUGGAGACUCAUAAUAGGUUUUAAUUGUGAAAGUGUGAAUAAAUUACAUUUAAAUGCAAAUUUAAAUCCUCUGAAUUUACUGUAAGAUUUUUAUUUUGUGGCCAAAGUUCCUUUUACUGGCAUUUCUUUGUACACGUACUUCCAGGUACUUCAAGGGAA